rnacentral:lncRNA from 1 species
AUGAGGCGGAAUUUUAGGGAGAAGGGGGGGAAAAAAGGCAAAUUUGAGUGGAAAAGGGGAAAAAUGGGGAUUGUGGGGGAUGGAAGUGCCGCUGUUCCACUGGGGGUGGCGGCUGCACACGUGUCACACAUCAUGGAAUGUCACACGUGUGUCACACGCGUGUCCCGCACUGUCACACGCGUGUCCCGCACUGUCACAUGCGUCACAUGCAUGUCCCAGACUGUCACACGUGUGUCACACAUGUCCUGGCCCUGCACACGUGUCCUACACUGUCACAUGUAUGUCAUACAUGUAUCACAUGUAUGUCAUACAUGUGUCCGAAAUUCUCAUGUGUUUCACACACAUGUCCUGGCCCUGCACACAUGUCCCGCACUGUCACACACGUGUCCCGCACUGUCACACACAUCACAUACAUGUCCCAGAGUGUCACACGUGUGUCACACAUGUCCUGGCCCUGCAAACAUGUCCCAAACUGUCNCGUGUCCCGCACUGUCACACACAUCACAUACAUGUCCCAGAGUGUCACACGUGUGUCACACAUGUCCUGGCCCUGCAAACAUGUCCCAAACUGUCACGUGUUGCAGACAUGUCUCAGACUGUCACACACGUGUUCCACGCGUGUCCUGGCCCUGCACGCGUGUCUCAGACUGUCACACUCAUCUCCCAGACUCACAUGCGUCACACACAUGGCCAAGGCUGGCACAUGUGUGUCACACACGUGUCCCCACUCUACAUACAUGUCCCAGACUGUCACAUGUAUCACAUGCAUGCCCUGCACACGUGUCCCAGACUCUCACAUGUGUGUCACACACGUGGCCAAGGCUGUCACAUGUGUGUCACACAUGUGCCCUGGCCUUGCACACGUGUCCCAGACUGUCGCACACGUGUUCCACACAUAUCCUGGCUGUUCAUACGUGUCCUAGACUGACAUGCAUGUUGCAGACGUGUCCUAGACUGACACACGUAUGUCACACGUGUCCCACGCAUGUCCUAGCCCCACGCGUCCCAACCCCACACAUACGUUCCCUAGCCCCACUCAUACCAGCCCCACACGUCCCGGCCCCACACACACAUGUCCCACACGUGUCCUAA